rnacentral:rRNA from 1 species
GAUGAACGCUGGCGGCAUGCCUAAUACAUGCAAGUCGAGCGAAGCGGGGACGGGUGAGUCACACGUGGAUAACCUCCUAUAAGACUGGGAUAACUUCAGGAAACCGGGGCUACACCGCCUCCGUCUCGAUAGAUCCGCGCUGCAUUAGCUAGUUGGUAAGGUAACGGCUUACCAAGGCAACGAUGCCUAGCCGACCUGAGAGGGUGAUCGGCCAAACUGGAACUGGGACACGGUCCAGACUCCUACGGGAGGCAGCAGUAGGGAAUCUUCCGCAAUGGGCGAAAGCCUGACGGAGCAAUGCCGCGUGAGUGAAGAAGGUCUUCGGAUCGUAAAACUCUGUUAUUAAGGAAGCGUUACCUAAUCAGAAAGCCACGGCUAACUACGUGCCAGCAGCCGCGGUAAUAC